CGAAGCCUGACACCCUUCAGGAAUUUCAAGGUCUAGGCCAGUCCAGGCAGGCUACUUGGCACUGUUGUGUCUCUUACUCAGUGUAUGGGUGCAAGUGUAGCUGGGUAACGUGCACGCUGUGGUGGGGUUGGCAGGGGAGAGGGAUCCAUCUCAAGAGUCUGACAGGACGACACAGCUGCAGAGCUUCUGGAAUCCUGUUCAAAGAAGGCUGGUUUCUAGGUUGGGGUCUGAAAUCAACAUUCCUGGCAAGUUCCAUUGUGUGCCUCCUGGGACCUGCUUAAGAGGAAGCAGACGCGGAAACCAGCUGGUUAUCCCAAUUGCACACCCCCGUGGCCUCCACACAGAAGCUGGAUGGAGGAUUUAAGACAAAGAUUAGAAAACUUCUGAAGACUCCCCAGUGGCUUCCUACGGCUGCCCAAACCCCCGAAUGCUGCACGGCUCAUCCUGCACAGCCCAACAUACUUAAGUUGUUCUUCAUCCGUUUCAGAUUUCCCUGCUGAUCUGUUUCUAUUCAGGGCCUCUCCACAGCCUGGCCCUCAACCCAUCCCUCCUUCUCACCUUCUGUUGUCUUAUAUGGCUAGUACUUGGCUGUGUCUCUUCAUUGCAGUAUGAGCUCUUCUACAGUUUGUCUAGCUGCCUAUGUGGAGCUGCGCCUGGCAUACGCUAACUGUGGAGGAACAUAAGGCCCAGGGGCUGCUGGAGUGAUUGCUGCGGCCUCUCUCCCAACAGGACCACCAAUGUCUGCGUGAACACUAGCUACCCCGUGUCUGUUCUCUUGGCUCUUCCUCUGGUCGUGCUAGCGAGGGUUCCAACGUGCCCAGAACCUACUAUCCUCUGGACUUUCCUAGAACAUGGCCUCAUCUACUAUUCUGCUUUCAAAGCCAUGCUCAGUCUGCCUUAGAUACUCACCCCACCAUAGCUGACCAGCUGUUACCUCCAUAACCACACAUUUCCCCAGCAUAAAGCAUAGAUGGCCCUCACUACCCUGGGUGGUCAAGGUCCCAAGGGAGGCAUGGGGCACCUUUCUGAACUUGGCCUUAGACGUCUAUCUCCCCCUUUUCCUUUUAGGAACAAAGCCCCCAUGUUUCAGAACGGCCCAUAGCUGCCUCCAGAGGUUACCCUAAAUUCCCCCCUUGUACUCCUGGGCGUGGCAAGCCCUGCUUCUGAGGUAUGAAUGGAGAACCUCUGUUAUCUUUGGUGCCGUGUCCUCGAACUUUCCCUUCAGUGCGUUUCCUCCUUUCUAGAGUUUGUGAUCCUUGCUAAUGACAGCCAGGGUGGUCACAGGAAGAGGCCCUAGGCAUGGGACAGAGAACCUUAACUCCUGGGGGGUUCCACAAGCAGAGCCACUCACUGGACCAUGCACGUACUGCACAUCAUCCUGCUCUUGCUAUAGGGGUCUGAAGAGCUUCAAGAUUGGCAAGUGCCUUGUCUGUCAUGUACACCCUCACUCCUAUGUUGUCACUCUAAGGGUGGUAUCCUUCGACGAGGCUUUCUUUGCCAGAUGUUCCCGUUUGUGGUGGCUCAAAUGAGAACGGCCACCAUAGGCUCCUAUAUUUGAAUGCUUGGUCACCAAGGAGUGGAACUGUUUGAAAGAUUAGAAGGAUCAGGAGGUGUGGCCUUUUUGGAGUAGGUAGGUUUCGAAAGCCCAACAGUUCUAGAGUUUCUCUGUGUCUGUCCGUGGAUCAGGUUGUAGCUAACAGCUACUCUUCCGGUGAUGCCGAAGCCGCUGGUACUGUAAGCAAGCAAAACAGUUAAAUGCUGUCUUUCAUAAGAGUUGCUUUGGUCACGGCGUCUCUUCACAGCGAUAGGUCAGUGACUAAGACAUCCUUCUUCUGACUCAGCCAGAGAAGCACCCCCUCCACCAGGGGCCUCUCACAGAGACCAGCAUUUGUGCCACAGCACUUCAGCACAACGCAGCCCAGGGGUUCUCCAGAGCACUUGGUGAGGACUCCUUCAUUCUAUGUCCACCUCCCACAGCAGGUGUGAGCCUCUGCAGAGUCUUACUAUGCAGUCUGGGCUAGCACUGAACCGUGCUCCUUCUGCUUCAACUUCUGGAACAUGGGGAUCCGGAUGAAUUCGGACUGUGUGCUUUUCAAGGCAGCGAGUGAGCCUUGCAUCACAGCAGCUCCAGCAUAAGCUCAUCCUCCACAAGCAGAUAAAGCUCAGCAAGCAUCAUGUGGACGGUGCCAGCCCUGUGGACCCACACCUGGGGCAGCUACACAAAGUCACGUACCUCAGCCAAAAAAUCUGAAUAAAGGAAAUGAACCAGAAGAAAAAAAACAAGGAGGAAGAUGAAACUCAAUACUGACACUGAGGGGAUAAAGAUCCUGAGGUCAAGACCAGCCUGGGCUACAUAGUAAGACCCUGUCUCAAAAAAAAAAAAAAAAAAAAGGGGUUGGGGAUUUAGCUCAGUGGUAGAGCGCUUGCCUGGGAAGCGCAAGGCCCUGGGUUCGGUCCCCAGCUCCGAAAAAAAAGAACCAAAAAAAAAAAAAAAAAAGAAAAAAAGAAAAACCUAAAUAUAUGAAAAGAAACACACCCCCUUUAUCAUGACUUUGUAUAUAAGGGAAACAGCUGGCUUCGAGGGUGGGGUCAGGAUACUGGAAAACCAGCACAGCUUCCACAGGGUGCCUGCCUGUCAGUGCUACUGACCUGUUGCCUCACAGGGACCCUUACCUACUGAUGGCUCUACAUGUGGUGCAGAAGUUUCAGAGUUCCCCUCACAGGCUGGCUCCUGAGAAAACGGGGAAUGGUGGGGGUGGAGGACAGUUGUAGACUAACUCAGGGGCUGACUGUGGAAGUGUGAGAUCACUACCCUCUUUCUCCGUACUUCCUUUCAUGGUAAAUGUCUCCGUCCAGCCCGGGCAGGAGAACGGAGUCCAUCAGAGGAAGACUUCAUACAGGGGCAUUUGGGACUCUCCCAAAGAGAAGAGCAGGAGCCCAAGGCUGGGGUCAUGGCAUCCUGUGGGCUGCCAGCUGACAAGCCUCCUCCCAUUCUACCUCUAAUGCUCGGCUGGGAAAUCCACUGGCCGUCCAUGGGCCAUAAGCUCAGAACGCUCCCACACGUGCCGCACCUGCAACUCAUUUUCUCAAGACACCGUCCUGGGUGAUCCCUGACUUUCAGGCUCAAAUCCCUGAUAUCGCUCUAAUACCAUUCCCUCACGACCCACAUCCAACCCAAACCGUCACGUCAGGCUUUGAAAUCAAUCCUUUAUCAUCCAUCACCUUUCUUUACCCAGCUCAGUCAUAUUAGGUAGGAUCGACACAGCAGCCAGGUAGGCUGCAGCUGUAGAGUUUCAGACAGGACUCCAAACCGCACCUCACACAUCACAUUCAGAGUGAAGGCUACACACAGACCUUGAGUUGCUCAGCCGGUAUUGCCUGGUGAACAAAUUUCACUGAUUUAGCACCACGGUUUAAAAGUAAAUCGUAUGCAAAGAAGCAAAUAAAUAUUGAAAAAUCAUUUUUGAACUAUAGUCUUACCUCCCCAGAAUCCCCUACCCCCCCUUUUUUCUGCAAUCGGGCAGAAGUCAGCUGUAGAUCUGACCUUGUCUCCUGGAUUCGAAACCCAGCCCCCCUCAGACCCGGCAUCAGCUGGUACUGAAGUGGGUACGAACAAUUUGGGCAAGAAUCUAAGUACAGAUAUUUAGGUUACAUGAGACCUAUCUGUGGCGUGUACGAGCACAGCAGUCUGUAAGUUAUUGUUAGCUAACCUAUAAAGGGAUGGCUCUCAGAAGUGUUCCUCCUGUCCCCCACACCGUUUGGCCUGGCCUGCUGCUACCAGCACUUGGCACAGAGAGAGGAAUAUGCCUGUAUAGGACAGCUGGCAACGAGAAGGGUACUGAUAGGCUAGAAGAGAGGUUUUAAACGCAUGCAGCCGGAAUCGAAGCCUGCUUAACAUCCUUCAUGUUACAAGUAAUACGUAAAGGGUUGGGGAUUUAGCUCAGUGGUAGAGCGCUUGCCUAGGAAGCGCAAGGCCCUGGCUUCGGUCCCCAGCUCCGAAAAAAAGAACCCAAAAAAAAAAAAAAAAAAAAAAAGAAACAAGUAAUACGUAAAAAGUGGCCGCAUUAAAGAAAAUCCGAAGUUUUCAGUUGAUGACAUCUGUGAAAAUUUCAACUGUAGCGGCACAAUUUUUCUAAACUAUCGGGAAUAAAUUUCAGUUUUGCAAUAGGAAAAACUGUUUACCUUUCUAUUCCCUUGUGGGAAACACUACAGUGUGCAGGCAUUAUGCUGUACGGCUAUAAUCCCAGUACUGGGGGAGGCAGAGCCAAGGGGAUAAUGAGGCCAACCUGAGCUAAAUAUGGAGACCCUGUG